rnacentral:rRNA from 1 species
GAUGAACGCUAGCUACAGGCUUAACACAUGCAAGUCGAGGGACCGGCGCACGGGUGAGUAACACGUAUCCAACCUGCCCUUUACUCGGGGAUAGCCUUUCGAAAGAAAGAUUAAUACCCGAUAUAAAGGAUGGGGAUGCGUUCCAUUAGGUUGUUGGUGAGGUAACGGCUAACCAAGCCUUCGAUGGAUAGGGGUUCGGAGAGGAAGGUACACCACAGUGGAAGUGAGACACGGUCCAAAACCGUAGGGGAGGCAGGAGUGAGGAAGAUUGGGAAAUGAGCGCGAGCCUGAACCAGCCAAGUAGCGUGAAGAAGGAAGGCUUAUGGGUCGUAAAUUGCUUUUAUAUAAGAAUAGGUAUUAGAUGAAUAAGGAUCGGCUAACUCCGUGCCAGCAGCCGCGGUAAGAC